CAGGGGCGCGAGCGUUUCGCGCGGCGGCCGCCCCGCGGGAGGCUGGGUCCGUCAGCCCGUCACGCUCCCCGGCCGGGCGGAGGGGAGCCCUGAGCAGCGGAGUGAGGCUCUUCCCCAUCUCCCCUCCCCCCACACCGCUCCCUCGUGCCGCCCCACCCACCGCCACGCGCAGCCCCGCUUUGGCCCGGCGUGUCCUCGCCCCGUGUCCCCACCGCACCCCCCAUCUAGGGCGGGAAAUAAUGGGGGGCACACAGGGGCUGCAGAGAGUCCCUGUACUAGAGGGUGGCCAUGGGGCAGCGGAGGCUGGGGGGAUGCAAGGAGCCCCGCAGCGGGUGCAAUGCGCUUGGCCUGCAGCAGCAAAGCACCCGCCUAUCCUGGGCGGUCAGGGAGUGAUUUCCCAGCCUGGGAAAUGGCGCUGCUAACACGCUUUGGGGGGGACCGAUCUGUGCACACUCGAUGCUGUGCAGGGGUGACGUGUUGCGGUGACUCUCAUAUAUACACCUCUAUGCGCGGCCCGGUUAGCUUGCGGUAUAUGAUGCCAAUGUUGCCUCGAACCAAACUCUCCCGCACGGAAAGCGCGAGCUCCAGAUUUUUUUUUAAACAGAACUGAUUAUCAUGAUGCGGUGUCUUGACCUAUCUGCAAAGUUCCUGUAAUAUGAUUGAUCCAUCAAAGUUCAGCAGGAGCCAGUCAAGAAGUGUACCAAAAAUAUUGCACAAGAUAAUCUGGGUGACAAGAGUUUGUGGUGGAAUGGCCUCCAGUUUGGUGUUUACAGCUUGUAAGUCUGGACUACUCAAACUCUACAUACAGCAUCUACAUACUUUGAAGGAAUAAACUAAAUCCCUGAUUUAACAUUCGCUGGCAGACCAAGUCCAUUCGCUUACAAACCUAUUUUUAAAAUACAGAACAAAGGAAACUUCAAAUGUCUCAAACCAAACUACAGGUUGUUUUCAUGAUUAGUCAGUCUGUACUUGUUCAAUGGUGCAAGAUUAGUUUUUAUUCUUUCUGAUUUGCAAACUAAUCCUAAACUGGAUAAAAUGUCAACUACAAUGCAAAAUAAAAUUGUUUGCCCUUUACUGAUCCUUUGUUAUAUAAAAGGCAACUUCAAAAUUCAUUGAAAUCUGUAUCACUUCUUCCUUCAUGUUAAUAAAGGUUAGCAGCAGUUCAGUUUAAAGGCUCAUGUUUAAAGACUCAU